rnacentral:rRNA from 1 species
GACGAACGCUGGCGGCGUGCUUAACACAUGCAAGUCGAACGGAAAGGCCCUGCUUUUGUGGGGUGCUCGAGUGGCGAACGGGUGAGUAACACGUGAGUAACCUGCCCUUGACUUUGGGAUAACUUCAGGAAACUGGGGCUAAUACCGGAUAGGAGCUCCUGCUGCAUAGUGGGGGUUGGAAAGUUUCGGCGGUUGGGGAUGGACUCGCGGCUUAUCAGCUUGUUGGUGGGGUAGUGGCUUACCAAGGCUUUGGCGGGUAGCCGGCCUGAGAGGGUGACCGGCCACAUUGGGACUGAGAUACGGCCCAGACUCCUACGGGAGGCAGCAGUGGGGAAUAUUGCACAAUGGGCGGAAGCCUGAUGCAGCAACGCCGCGUGCGGGAUGACGGCCUUCGGGUUGUAAACCGCUUUCGCCUGUGACGAAGCGUGAGUGACGGUAAUGGGUAAAGAAGCACCGGCUAACUACGUG